GAUGAACGCUGGCGGCGUGCCUAAUACAUGCAAGUCGAGCGAACAGACGAGGAGCUUGCUCCUCUGACGUUAGCGGCGGACGGGUGAGUAACACGUGGAUAACCUACCUAUAAGACUGGGAUAACUUCGGGAAACCGGAGCUAAUACCGGAUAAUAUAUUGAACCGCAUGGUUCAAUAGUGAAAGACGGUUUUGCUGUCACUUAUAGAUGGAUCCGCGCCGCAUUAGCUAGUUGGUAAGGUAACGGCUUACCAAGGCAACGAUGCGUAGCCGACCUGAGAGGGUGGUCGGCCACACUGGAACUGGGACACGGUCCAGACUCCUACGGGAGGCAGCAGUAGGGAAUCUUCCGCAAUGGGCGAAAGCCUGACGGAGCAACGCCGCGUGAGUGAUGAAGGUCUUCGGAUCGUAAAACUCUGUUAUUAGGGAAGAACAAAUGUGUAAGUAAAUAUGCACGUCUUGACGGUACCUAAUCAGAAAGCCACGGCUAACUACGUGC
rnacentral:rRNA from 1 species